rnacentral:rRNA from 1 species
GUAAUCACUUGUUCCAUAAAUAGGGACCUGUAUGAACGGCCACAUGAGAAAGAAACUGUCUCUUGAAGAUAGCCAGUGAAACUGAUCUGCUUGUUCAAAAGCAAGCAUAAUUAAGCUAGACAAAAAGACCCUGCGAAACUUAAAGCCAAGCAUUAAACAAACUAAUGCCUAACUUUUAGUUGGGGCAACUUAUGAUACACUAAACAUCUUAAACAUCCUAAACCAACAAGUUAAAACUACUCAAACAAAGAUCCGGCACAGCCGACUAACGAACCAAGCUACUCCAGGGAUAACAGCGCCAAAUUCUUUGAGAGUCCACAUCAACAAGAAUUCUUACGACCUCGAUGUUGGAUCAGGGUAUCCAAACAGCGCAGAAGCUGCUAACGGCUCGUUUGUUCAACGAUUAAAACCCU